rnacentral:SRP_RNA from 1 species
UCUAGGUGUGGUGGUGUGUGCCUGUUGUCCCAGCACUCUGGAGGCUGAGGCAAGAGAAUCGCUUGAGCCCAGGAGUUCUGGGCUGUAGUAUGCUGGGCCAAUUUGGUGUCUGCACCAAGUUCAAUAUCAAUAUGGUGACCUUCUAGAAGCAGGGGACCACCAGCUGCCUAAGGAGGGGUGAACUGGGCCAGGUCAGAAAUGGAGCAGGUCAAAAUUCCUGUGCUGAUCAGUUGUGGGAUCAUGCCUGUGACUAGCCACUACACUCCAGCCUGGGCAACAUAGCAAAGCCCUGUCUCU